AUGAUGUUUAUUAUCCUGAAAAAAAAUAAAAAUUCAAAAAAACAAUGGAUUUUCAAAUGAGACCAAUAGUCUGCUUAAUGCUAUCCUGUCAGUAUAAAAUCCGAAGCGAUGGCUCUCUCUAAUCUGAAGCCAUGUACUGUAAAAGCAACGUAAGCAACAUGUGUAGCGUAAAGUAUUCCACAUAGGUCACGUUGCAAACUUGUAUUGACUCAGAUGAGGAGGUCCUGCACAGUCUUAUCAUUCUUCAUAAAGAUAGAGCCCCCUGCAUUUACCCAGUAAGCAGGGAAAGUCGUCCCUCCCUUUCCUCACCACUUUGAUCUUGUGUGGAAAAGUGUUUUAGUAGCUGCAGUCAGGCGCCCUUCAACAUCCCGCGUGUGUGGCUGCUCUCUCCCAAAUUCAUCUUGCGAGGAGGGAAAAUUCCUCGGACAGCUACUGUAAUAAGUUGGAAUGCAAAGCAUGUUGACUUUCCCUGAAGUGUCUCUGUUAUGCGGACCCACACACGACACAACACCAAGCGAGGAGGUGACGCCGCAGAUGAACCCGCCGCACGUCCGUCAGUGGAGAGGAGCCCCGGUUCGCUCACACGCUAGCUCCUGGCUAGCGCCUCUCUUCGUGGGUCGCGGGCGUGCUGGAGCCUAUCCCAGCUGUCAUCGGGCAGGAGGCGGGGUACACCCUGAACUGGUUCCCAGCCAAUCGCAGGAUAAAAAAAAGCCACACGACAAAGCGCACUCAGUCGGUAAAGCCGAGGAAUCUCUUUUGAUGCUCUGCAGAGAUCCAAACUGCACCAGCACACAAACAAAGUCCCUGUGGACAGGAUAUGUGGGACCUUCGAGCUCAAUGAAUCCAGUGUGUUGCCUGACUAAAUGCCUCGACAUCUGGUUCAUCUCAGAGGUGUCUCCUCCAAAACCUGGCCCACUCCUCGUUAU